UACGAAGGGGGCUAGCGUUGCUCGGAAUCACUGGGCGUAAAGGGCGCGUAGGCGGCGUUUUAAGUCGGGGGUGAAAGCCUGUGGCUCAACCACAGAAUGGCCUUCGAUACUGGGACGCUUGGGUAUGGUAGAGGUUGGUGGAACUGCGAGUGUAGAGGUGAAAUUCGUAGUUAUUCGCAAGAACACCGGUGGCGAAGGCGGCCAACUGGACCAUUACUGACGCUGAGGCGCGAAAGCGUGGGGAGCAAACAGG
rnacentral:rRNA from 1 species